rnacentral:rRNA from 1 species
GUGCAGCAGGCGCGAAAACUUCACACUGUGCGAAAGCACGAUGAGGGAAUCCCAAGUGCUUGCACGUAAGUGUAAGCUGUUUCUCUGUUUAAAACGCAGAGAGAGUAAGGGCUGGGUAAGACGGGUGCCAGCCGCCGCGGUAAUACCUGCAGCUCAAGUGGUGACCGUUAUUAUUGGGCCUAAAACGUCCGUAGCCGGUUUAAUAAAUGCCUGGGUAAAUCGUGUAGCUUAACUAUACGAAUUCCGGGUAGACUGUUAAACUCGAGACCGGGAGAAGUUAGAGGUACUCCUGGGGUAGAGGUGAAAUUCUGUAAUCCUAGGGGGACCACCAGUGGUGAAGGCGUCUAACUAGAACGGGUCUGACGGUGAAGGACGAAGCCCUGGGGCGCAAACGGGAUUAGAUACCCGUGUAGU